AUGGAACUGGACAAUUUGGACAGAAAAACAAGAAAACUCAUGACCACUCAUCAUUCACUGCACCCUCGCAGUGAUGUUGACCGGCUAUAUCUGCCUAGAAGAUCAAGUGGCAGAGGACUCUUACAAGUAAAACAAGCAGUCAAAGAAGAAGAACAUGCCCUGGCAGAAUAUGUCAAGCAAAGUGAAGAACCUGCUUUGAUUGAAGUCAAAAAUCAGAAACUCCUCAAAGCACAGCAGACAAAAAACCAGUACAAGAAAGCCACACUACAAACUAGAGCUGACAGCUGGCACAACAAAACAUUGCAUGGAAAGUUCCUUGACAAAAUUGAAGGAAAAGCUGAUAAGGAGAAGACCUGGCUCUGGCUCACGAAUGGGACCCUGAAGAAGGAGACAGAAGGCCUGAUCCUUGCAGCCCAGGAGCAAGCCAUCAGGACAAAGGCCAUUCAGGCCAAGAUCGAAAAAUCAGCUGAUGACCCAAAAUGCAGACUGUGCAAGGAAGCUGACGAAACCAUUGAUCAUCUCCUCAGCUGCUAUAAGAAAAUUGCACAGACAGACUACAAACAGAGGCAUAACUGUGUGGCCCAAAUGAUCCAUUGGAACUUAUGCCUCAAGUACCACCUCCCAGCAGCAAAGAACUGGUGGGAUCACAAACCAGCAAAGGUCGUGGAAAAUGAACACGCAAAGAUACUGUGGGACUUCCGAAUCCAGACUGACAAAGUUCUGGAACACAACACACCAGAUAUCACAGUUGUGGAAAAGAACAAGGUUUGGAUAAUUGAUGUCGCCAUCCCAGGUGACAGUCGCAUUGAUGAAAAACAACAGGAAAAACUCAGCCGCUAUCAGGACCUCAAGAUUGAACUUCAAAGACUCUGGCAGAAACCAGUGCAGGUGGUCCCGGUGGUGAUGGGCACACUGGGUGCCGUGCCAAAAGAUCUCAGCCGGCAUUUGGAAACAAUAGACAUUGACAAAAUUACAAUCUGCCAACUGCAAAAGGCCACCCUGCUGGGAUCUGCACGCAUCAUCCGAAAAUACAUCACACAGUCCUAA
rnacentral:lncRNA from 1 species